AGUGAACGCUGGCGGCAGGCCUAAUACAUGCAAGUCGAACGGCAGCACAGCAGAGCUUGCUCUGUGGGUGGCGAGUGGCGGACGGGUGAGGAAUACAUGGGAAUCUGCCCAGUCGUGGGGGAUAACGUAGGGAAACUUACGCUAAUACCGCAUGCGCCCUUCGGGGGAAAGCCGGGGACCUUCGGGCCUGGCGCGAUUGGAUGAGCCCAUGUCGGAUUAGCUAGUUGGCGGGUAAUGGCCCACCAAGGCGACGAUCCGUAGCUGGUCCGAGAGGAUGAUCAGCCACACUGGAACUGAGACACGGUCCAGACUCCUACGGGAGGCAGCAGUAGGGAAUAUUGGACAAUGGGCGCAAGCCUGAUCCAGCCAUGCCGCGUGAGUGAAGAAGGCCCUCGGGUUGUAAAGCUCUUUUGUCCGGAAGAAAGCGCCGGGUUAAUACCCUGGUGUCCUGACGGUACCGGAAGAAUAAG
rnacentral:rRNA from 1 species